UAUUAGUUAUUUAUCACUAUGAAUCUCAAGUGAUACAUUAUCAGAUUUAGUGAUAAAAAAAAAAACAAGAUUUGUAAUUGGAUGACUGAUUAAAUUUAUGCGUGGAUUCUGACUUGUGUGUGUUUGGCUCAUUCACUAAAAAAUUUGCUAGAUACAGUUAUACUAAACACAACUAUUGGUGGCUGCUGUUUGUAUCUUUUGACCUGCAAAGCAAGCUGCAAGGUGUGUUGAAAGGGAAAUCAGUGUCAAAACUCCCUCUAUGUAGCAAGAUAUCCAAAUCAAGUGUUUCUGAAGUUUGUGCAUUAUACCCAAAAUGGUAUUCUGACAAACCAAAAAAACUUGAUUCUGAAGUUUUUGGAAAUAUGAAUGCAUCAGAAAAACUUUCCAUCAUUGUCUCAUUUUCUGAUCCAAUUGAUAGAGAAGGAAAACAAAACCAAUGGUAAAUAUCCUCUUUGGUUUCAUCAUGUUCUUCUUUCAAAGUGGAACUAGCUUCUUGAGUUUGUAGGUUGAGAGCAUGUGUGUCUUCCUAUGUAAGUAACCUCAAUUAUUGUUGGAUCUUCAUCUGACCUUUGAAUUUGUUUUGUUGCUAAACAUCCUUGUUCUUUUCUAUGUGUGCAUCUGUAAUAUCCUCUGCAAUCCAAACCACUAUUAGUUUUUAGA